rnacentral:rRNA from 1 species
CCUGUUCGCUCCCACGCUUUCGCGCCUCAGCGUCAGUUACAGACCAGAGAGUCGCCUUCGCCACUGGUGUUCCUCCACAUCUCUACGCAUUUCACCGCUACACGUGGAAUUCCACUCUCCUCUUCUGCACUCAAGUCCCCCAGUUUCCAAUGACCCUCCACGGUUGAGCCGUGGGCUUUCACAUCAGACUUAAAGGACCGCCUGCGCGCGCUUUACGCCCAAUAAUUCCGGACAACGCUUGCCACCUACGUAUUACCGCGGCUGCUGGCACGUAGUUAGCCGUGGCUUUCUGGUUAGGUACCGUCAAGGUACAAGCAGUUACUCUCGUACUUGUUCUUCCCUAACAACAGAGCUUUACGACCCGAAGGCCUUCUUCGCUCACGCGGCGUUGCUCCGUCAGACUUUCGUCCAUUGCGGAAGAUUCCCUACUGCUGCCUCCCGUAGGAGUCUGGGCCGUGUCUCAGUCCCAGUGUGGCCGAUCACCCUCUCAGGUCGGCUACGCAUCGUCGCCUUGGUGAGCCGUUACCUCACCAACUAGCUAAUGCGCCGCGGGCCCAUCUGUAAGUGACAGCAAAACCGUCUUUCCAUCUUCUCUCAUGCAAGAGAAGAAAUUAUCCGGUAUUAGCU